GGUCCGGCGGACGAAGUUGGCCAGCCCCACCCCCCAAGGCUAUAGCUCACCCGUUUUUGUGGCCUUUUUCCGCUGGACGAACUUGGCGCCCCGGCCUUCGGGCGGUUAUUUUUGGGCGCGGCUUUCCCACGGCCUAUUUUUGGCACACGGAGGCCCAUCGCAAAGACUCGCGGCAUUCCGAGUCCGGCGGACGAAGUUGGCCAGCCCCACCCCCCAGGGCUAUAGCCCACCCGUUUUUGUGGCCUUUUUCUGCUGGACGAACUUGGCG
rnacentral:lncRNA from 1 species